AAGUCGUAACAAGGUUUCCGUAGGUGAACCUGCGGAAGGAUCAUUACAUUCAGUAGCCUAGCUACUUGUUUAUACCCUUGUUUUUUGCGUACCUAUUGUUUCCUCGGUGGGCUUGCCCGCCGGUUGGACAAAACUUAUAACCUUUUUUAAAUCUUCAAUCAGCGUCUGAAUUAUACAUAAUAAUUACAACUUUCAACAACGGAUCUCUUGGUUCUG
rnacentral:misc_RNA from 1 species